UAAGGUUGAGCCAGCAGUGUCAGAAGGAUGCCACAAGCUCUGUGUUGCUUACUUGGAUGCUGCAUGGAACCUUAUUCAAUCAAUUAGGUGUUCUUUCUUCACUGAUGAACAAAGGAGACUCUGUUUAUAUGCUGCGUUGUUUCUUCCAUUCAGAAAUGUUA